UUCCAAAAAUGCAAGACCUAACCCCAAUCCCUACCCUGGAUCUCUGACAAAUCUCUGAAGCUUGGGUAAGAGGGGCUUGGCAAAGCAGCAAGAAAAAUGACCAGCAUUUCCUUGGCAGUACCGGUGUCACCUUCCAUUUGGUUUUAUUGGGAUGCCUGUGACCUAAUGAGGGUGGUGAGGAACCCCACUCUCUCCAUAACUCCAGAAAAGACAGCAGGUCGGCAGCACAAUCAGUGUUUGGAUAGACAGUGUCCUUGGCCAUCACUGUCAGUCAGAUCUUCAGCCUUGAGGGAAGUCAGCUGCCGUGCUGUGAUCUGCUCUAUGGGGAGCCCAUAUGGCCAGGAACCAAAGGAGGCCUCUAGACAUUGAAUCCUGCCAACAACCACUUGAGUGGGCUUACAAACGAUCCACCCCAGCAAGCCUUAAGGUGAUGACAGCCCCAGCCAAUACCUUGCAGUCUUAGGAGAAAACAAAGCCAGGGGACUCAGCUAACCUCACAUGCAGGUUCCUGAUCCAC